AAAGCGGUGGCGGUGGCGGCACGAACUUUUCCGGCUCUGCCCCGCGCCCCCUGAGAGGCCAGAAGUGACAACUUGAACGCGGGACUUUGAGGGGUCCGGAGCGGAGAGCAGUGUGCACCCUGAGACACGGUCUCUGCCCCCCCCCCCCCGCCCUCCGGGUGGCCGCUUGGCACCGCGCCCGGGCGUUCCGCACCAGAACCGACACAGCCCGAACCCUUCACCGAGGGCACCGUGAACUGCAGUGGCUACUUUCACUGUUGUGCUUCCUCCAGGUCCAUGAAGCCCUCGAGUGUGACCCCUAACCCCAGAGCGAAGUGUAGUGGGGAGGUGGUCUCCGAACCCAAGCUUCCACGUGCCCGAAACGAGGGUGGUAGUGUCAGGAAUUGAAAGCUGCUGACAUCCUGUAAGAAAGAAAAGUUGUUAAGCUUGAUUCUGUGGAAGGAAAUUUAAAAUAACAAAAAGAUGAAAAGAAACAGGAAUCUGAAGGACCAUAGAAUAAAUUCCUUUCUAUAUCAUCAAGGAAGAUCCUACUGCCAUUCUCAAGUGACCAGUACCAGUUUACAGUGUUCUACUGUAGCAUAAAAUCAUUAAAGAG
rnacentral:lncRNA from 1 species